rnacentral:rRNA from 1 species
GGCGCACGGGUGCGUAACACGUAUGUAAUCUACCCUUUACUUAGGAAUAGCCCGGAGAAAUUCGGAUUAAUACCUAAUAUUAAGUUGAAGUGGCAUCACUUUAAUUUCAAAGAUUUAUCGGUAAAGGAUGAGCAUGCGGAUGAUUAGCUGGUUGGUGAGGUAACGGCUCACCAAGGCUACGAUCAAUAGGGGUUCUGAGAGGAAGAUCCCCCACACUGGCACUGAGACUACGGGCCAAGACUCAUACGGGAGGCAGCAGUAGGGAAUAUUGGGCAAUGGUCGAGAGACUGACCCAGCCAUGCCGCGUGAAGGAAGAAGGCUUUCUGAGUUGUAAACUUCUUUUAUCUGGGAAUAAAAUACCCUUGCGAGGGGAACUGAAUGUACCAGAUGAAUAAGCACCGGCUAACUCCGUGCCAGCCGCCGCGG